rnacentral:rRNA from 1 species
GACGGACCGUGGGAACGUUGUUCGGAAUCACUGGGCUUAAAGGGCGCGUAGGCGGGCAUGCCAGUCAGGGGUGAAAGCCCACGGCUCAACCGUGGAAGUGCCUUUGAUACUGCGUGUCUGGAGGGAGGUAGGGGCGUGCGGAACUUCCGGUGGAGCGGUGUAAUGCGUAGAUAUCGGAAGGAACACCGGUGGCGAAAGCGGCGCGCUGGACCUCUACUGACGCUGAGGCGCGAAAGCCAGGGGAGCAAACGGG